AUGCAGUUUUAUAUAUGUUGAUCUUAAAAUGUCUUAUUUCAAUUAGCAUGAAUCAAUUUUUGUUCCAACUGAUUAGUACUUUUAACUCUUAAUUGCUGUCUCGACAUACAGUGGAAUAAAAGACAAAAUUAACAGAAGUUAAGUCUACCUUUCAUACUAGAACAUAGUAGUACAUAAUUAUAUUGUACCUCAUUAUAAUUUAUGAUAUCAUAAAAUAAACCUGAUGUUUUGCAAGACUAAGAUUAAGAUUAAUCAAAGUUGGCUAGUUUUAGUUUUAUUUUGGUUUACCAGUACUGUGUUGACAAUGUAAUAGAAAAUACUGUUCAACUGAAGACCAGCCGUCAUCCUUCCCCAAUCAUGUAGAAUUGAGUCAAUCUGGUGAUACAAGUUGCUGUGAAAUUAAUGUUUUCUGUAAAUCAUUGUACAAAGUAGCCAUUACUAAAUUAGAAAUUAUCAGUGAAUCAAAAUUGUUUGAAAUAUAUGACACCAAAGAAGGAUAUUUAACAACUGUGAGAGGCAGCCCUUUACCUUCUAAUACUGAGGAAUCAAAGUUGUAUUUUAUUGACUGUCCUUUCGGUGUUCCUGUUAGAUCAUUUUCAGGAAAGUUUGUCUCUGUGGCACGGAAAAACAUUUUUGAAAUUGUGCGUUUAAAAAUUUGUUUAUGUUCCUGUGAUAAUGAACUUUAUUCAGCAGAAGCUAACUCAAUUAAUGUUCCCAAGUUAAAAUGCUAUGUGGCAGAAUUAGGAGACAGCGUACCUGAAAAUGCUAAAUCAUUACUUGAUGCCAUCGAACAAUAUCAGACGAAUAAAGCAACAACAGUAGAUGAUAUAAAGAAACAGUUAUGUCAAGAAAAUGUUUGUCAAGAUUCCUCGAUGGCUGGAAUGUCCAGAAUGAUGGCCAUGUUCUCACAGUUAAACCAGAAUUCAGCAAGAUCGUCACAAUCUGCUACAGAGAAUCAGUUGUUUUCUAUGAUUAGUUCAGUACAGAAUGGUAAUAGUGAAGAUAAAGCUAGCAUGUAUUCCUUCUUACAAAAUAUCUGUGGUCAGGUGUCUAGUAUGAGAGUGCCACCAACACCAUCAACUGAUUCUCAAAUAAGGCAAGAGGUAGAAUGUACAUCUAAUGUACAUGUAGAGACUAACAAGGAUAUGGCGGAGGCGGUUGUCAAUGAUAAAUUACAAGCAAUGGAAAAACAAGUAUUAAACCAAGUUGAUCAAAAGAUUAAUGAUUUAGAACAAAGACUAACUUCUAAACUAGACCUUAUUUUAAAAGGCUUAAAUAUACAGGUACCACCUGAAUAGUCAUAAUUGA